AUUGAACGCUGGCGGCAUGCCUUACACAUGCAAGUCGAACGGCAGCACGGGUGCUUGCACCUGGUGGCGAGUGGCGAACGGGUGAGUAAUAUAUCGGAACGUACCUUAUUGUGGGGGAUAACGCAGCGAAAGCUGUGCUAAUACCGCAUAAUCCCUAAGGGGGAAAGCGGGGGACCGUAAGGCCUCGCGCAAUUAGAGCGGCCGAUGCCUGGUUAGCUUGUUGGUGGGGUAAAAGCCCACCAAGGCGACGAGCAGUAGCUGGUCUGAGACGAUGAGCUGCCCCACAGGAACUGAGAAACGGUCCAGACUCCUACGGGAGGCAGCAGUGGGGAAUUUUGGACAAUGGACGAAAGUCUGAUCCAGCAAUGCCGCGUGAGUGAAGAAGGCCUUCGGGUUGUAAAGCUCCUCUGUCAGUGAAGAAAACUUUAAUAAUAACACUAUUAAAGCAUGACGGUAACUGAAGAAUAAGGACCGGCUAACUACGUGCCAGCAGCCGCGGUAA
rnacentral:rRNA from 1 species